rnacentral:rRNA from 1 species
AGAGUUUGAUCAUGGCUCAGGAUGAACGCUGGCGGCGUGCCUAACACAUGCAAGUCGAACGGAGUUCUUAAGGAAUGCGGCUUCGGUCAAAUGACUUUUGAACUUAGUGGCGGACGGGUGAGUAACGCGUGAGCAACCUGCCUUUCAGAGGGGGAUAACAUUUGGAAACAGAUGCUAAUACCGCAUAAGAUUACAGUACCGCAUGAUACAGUGAUCAAAGGAGCAAUCCGCUGAAAGAUGGGCUCGCGUCCGAUUAGAUAGUUGGUGAGGUAACGGCUCACCAAGUCGACGAUCGGUAGCCGGACUGAGAGGUUGAACGGCCACAUUGGGACUGAGACACGGCCCAGACUCCUACGGGAGGCAGCAGUGGGGAAUAUUGCACAAUGGGCGAAAGCCUGAUGCAGCAACGCCGCGUGAGGGAAGACGGUUUUCGGAUUGUAAACCUCUGUUUUCGGUGACGAACAAAUGACGGUAACCGAGUAGGAAGCCACGGCUAACUACGUGCCAGCAGCCGCGGUAUACGUAGGUGGCAAGCGUUAUCCGGAAUUACUGGGUGUAAAGGGAGCGCA